rnacentral:rRNA from 1 species
CAACAUGGGUACCUGCCUUUCAGUGAGGAAUACCGGCGAGAAAUCGCCGACAAGACCGCAUACGCUUCUCGGUGGAGACACGGGGAAGGAAAGUUGCUUCUUUGGGAGUGACGCUGGAGGAGGGGCCUGUGGCCGAUUAGCUAGUUGGGGGGGUAAGAGCCUACCAAGGCGUCGAUCGGUAGCUGGUCUGAGAGGACGAUCAGCCACACUGGGAUUGAGAACGGCCCAG